rnacentral:rRNA from 1 species
CUUGACGACCAUAGAGCAUUGGAACCACCUGAUCCCAUCCCGAACUCAGAAGUGAAACGAUGCAUCGCCG